rnacentral:rRNA from 1 species
AUUGAACGCUGGCGGCAUGCUUUACACAUGCAAGUCGAACGGCAGCGCGGGCUUCGGCCUGGCGGCGAGUGGCGAACGGGUGAGUAAUGCAUCGGAACGUGCCCAGUAGUGGGGGAUAGCCCGGCGAAAGCCGGAUUAAUACCGCAUACGACCUGAGGGUGAAAGCGGGGGACCGAAAGGCCUCGCGCUAUUGGAGCGGCCGAUGUCGGAUUAGCUAGUUGGUGGGGUAAAGGCUUACCAAGGCGACGAUCCGUAGCUGGUCUGAGAGGACGACCAGCCACACUGGGGCUGAGACACGGCCCAGACUCCUACGGGAGGCAGCAGUGGGGAAUUUUGGACAAUGGGGGCAACCCUGAUCCAGCCAUGCCGCGUGCGGGAGGAAGGCCUUCGGGUUGUAAACCGCUUUUGUUCGGGAAGAAAUCCUCUGGGCUAAUACCCCGGGGGGAUGACGGUACCGGAAGAAUAAGCACCGGCUAACUACGUG